rnacentral:sRNA from 1 species
ACUCGAGGAAGGAGGUGUUGCUGCAGUGAUUUCAUUGCGGACGCGAGAGGUGGCUGCGGGCUAGCGGCCUGUCACCACACCCAGUGCGGUGCCGGACCAGCGCGUGAGUCGAGCGUGCGGCCGGCCCAAUCCAGAGCAGUCACCCGACCCGCGGGCCGCCGGUACGUCCGGCCGGCUUCCGCCACCCGGAUCCGUCCGGGCGGCGGGACCAUGGCCCGCGGGUCGCCUGCU